rnacentral:rRNA from 1 species
AGUGAACGCUGGCGGUAGGCCUAACACAUGCAAGUCGAACGGCAGCACAGUAAGAGCUUGCUCUUACGGGUGGCGAGUGGCGGACGGGUGAGGAAUACAUCGGAAUCUACUUUUUCGUGGGGGAUAACGUAGGGAAACUUACGCUAAUACCGCAUACGACCUACGGGUGAAAGCAGGGGAUCUUCGGACCUUGCGCGAUUGAAUGAGCCGAUGUCGGAUUAGCUAGUUGGCGGGGUAAAGGCCCACCAAGGCGACGAUCCGUAGCUGGUCUGAGAGGAUGAUCAGCCACACUGGAACUGAGACACGGUCCAGACUCCUACGGAAGGCAGCAGUGGGGAAUAUUGGACAAUGGGCGCAAGCCUGAUCCAGCCAUACCGCGUGGGUGAAGAAGGCCUUCGGGUUGUAAAGCCCUUUUGUUGGGAAAGAAAAGCAGCAGGUUAAUACCCCGCUGUUCUGACGGUACCCAAAGAAUAAGCACCGGCUAACUUCGUG